CCUACGGGCGGCUGCAGUGGGGAAUAUUGCACAAUGGGGGAAACCCUGAUGCAGCGACGCCGCGUGAGUGAAGAAGUAUCUCGGUACGUAAAGCUCUGUCAGCAGGGAAGAAAAUGACGGUACGUGACUAAGAAGCCUUGGCCAACUACGUGCCAGCAGCCGCGGUAAUACGUAGGGGGCAAGCGGUAGCCGGAUUUACUGGGUGUAAAGGGAGCGUAGACGGCAGCGCAAGUCUGGAGUGAAAUCCCGGGGCUUAACCCCGGGAGUGCAUUGGAAACUGGGCGGCUGGAGUGCAGAAGGGGUAAGCGGAAUUCCUGGUGUAGCGGUGAAAUGCGUAGAUAUUAGGAGGAACACCGGUGGCGAAGGCGGCUUACUGGACUGUAACUGACGUUGAGGCUCGAAAGCGUGGGGAGCAAACAGGAUUAGAUACCCUUGUAGUC
rnacentral:rRNA from 1 species